rnacentral:pre_miRNA from 1 species
AAGCAAGUUACUUCGGGGAUAUUGUUAGAAUGCAGAGUCUGAUUUAUUAAGUCUGGAAUGGGACCUGAAAUUCUGCAUUUCUAACAAGGUCCCAGGUGAUUCAGAU